CUCAAAGGGGACUGAGCUCCUUCUGGAGGGAGAGCUGGAGCAUGAGUGGGGUGCUCCCUUGCUGCCUUUGAAUAUGCAGGCCACGCGAGAUGUGGAGGUUCACAAAAAUGGAGAAAUUUCCUGGGAAAACAGGUCAUCAUUCUUUUGAAUGUUUCUUUAAAGCAAAGUGUUCCUGCUGCACCAGACUGCACCCUAGCUGGUUCUUUACCACUAGAGCUACCUGGGAAGCCCAGCAGAUAUGUAAGAAAUAUUAAAAGGAAGAAGGAAAAUGGUCUUCAGGAAGAAGGAAGAUGAUGUAAGUUAGAAAUGUGUCAGAGUGACAGAGAAGGAAUAAAUAAAGGUAAAGCGAAGGCUUUUAUUUUUUUUUAUUCUUAAUCUGGUAACUGUCUGCUUAAAGUAAUAGGAACAAUGUAUUGGGAGAUGACAGCAUGUGGAAAAGUGAAAUAAAUGACAUCAGUGUCCUAAAGGAUGGUUGGGAGAAAUUGAUAACACUUGGCUAAGAGAUAGCUAUACUACUCAUGAGGUGGUACAGCGUUUCAUGAAAGUGGAUUUAGAUUAAUUGUAAAUAUAUAUAACAAACUCUGGCAACCACUAAGACAGCAGAUAAAGUGAAAUCAUACUCAAAUGUAAAGUGAAACCUAUUAACAGAUCAUACAGAAGGAAAUCUAGGUGAACUUGAAUUUGAUGAUGACUUUAUAGAUACCUUAUCAAAAGCAAAUUCAUGAAAAAAUUGGAUAACUUGCAAUUGAUUAAAAUGGAAAACUUUUUUUCCUCUGUGAAAGACAUGCUUACUAAUAUGGCAGGAAAUCUUCCAUUUCCCCAAAGUGUCCUUCUCUUAUCUUCAUCCACUGACUAUAUUGUUUUGCCCGCUGGUCAAAAUGGACCUAAAAUGGACCUAAAAUGGACCUAAUCCUUCCACCUGACACUCCAUCGAAGCACCUGGAGUCAGGCAUUGAGCCGAUUUGAAUCUUUCCUUUUCCUGCCUGUUGCUGCUGCUGCUAAGUCGCUUCAGUCGUGUCCGACUCUGUGCGACCCCAUACAUGGCAGCCCACCAGGCUCCCCUGUCCCUGGGAUUCUCCAGGCAAGAACAGUGGAGUGGGUUGCCAUUUCCUUCUCC
ensembl:lncRNA